rnacentral:rRNA from 1 species
GUUGUAUGGUUAAGUGACUAAGCGUACACGGUGGAUGCCUUGGCAGUCAGAGGCGAUGAAGGACGUAGUAACUUGCGAUAAGCCCAGAUAAGGCAGUAACAGCCAUUUGAAUCUGGGAUUUCCGAAUGGGGAAACCCACGUGCAUAAGCACGUAUCAUGCAGUGAAUACAUAGCUGUAUGAGGCGAACUCGGGGAACUGAAACAUCUAAGUACCCGAAGGAAAAGAAAUCAAUUGAGAUUCCGGCAGUAGCGGCGAGCGACCCCGGAUUAGCCCUUAAGCGGUUUAAGUGUUAGUGGAAUCAUCUGGAAAGGUGAGCGAUACAGGGUGAUAGCCCCGUACACGACAAUGCUUUUAUCGUGAAAACGAGUAGGACGGGACACGUGUUAUCUUGUCUGAACAUGGGGGGACCAUCCUCCAAGGCUAAAUACUCCUGACUGACCGAUAGUGAACCAGUACCGUGAGGGAAAGGCGAAAAGAACCCCUGUGAGGGGAGUGA